GCCUGAGUGGCUCAGUUGGUUGAGCAUCUGACUUUGGCUCAGGUCAUGAUCUCGCAUUCCAUGGGUUCGAGCCCCGCAUCGGGCU
rnacentral:tRNA from 1 species